rnacentral:lncRNA from 9 species
CCUCCCUCCCCCCUCCCCACCUCCAGCUCCUGGCGCCCGAUACCCUGCAGCCUCCAAAGCCCCGGCCGAGCAAGGCUCCCCCCACGGCCCGGCCGGGGCUGCGCCCCCUUGUGCUCUCCCCAACUUGCCUUUGUUAUUCCAGCUCCCUUCCUCGCCUCGCCUCCAACACCGCGGCGGGCUGCAAAACGCGGAGCACGGAGCCGCCGCCACACCUGGAAUCCGAAGCGGGCGCCCGGCCGAAGCCUCCCCCGCUCGUGCGGGGAGGAGGGGUAGUGCGUGCGUGCGCGCGCGUGAGUUUCCGUGAGAGGGACAGCGGACGUCAGCCAAAGUGGGCGCGCACUUAGAUGCUCUUGGGGGUGAGUCUGCCAGGGGAACCCCGCGAGCGGGCGCACCCAACUACGUCUCGUGAGUGCCAUCGCUCUCUACCGGCCCUGGCCCAGUGCCCAGCCCUGGGGCAGGUUCCCGCCGCCCCCACCCCACCCACGAAUACUGGGACCCGGACGCUCCCCGCCGGUUCUCGGGGAAUCCAAGCGCUUUUGGACCGCGCAGGCUGCGGAGCACAGACAGCGCUCACGGCUUCUUCCCAGCGCUCCAGCCUCCGAAAGUUGCCCUUGCGAGCGGCGGCGGGCGCCCGGGAGAGCGAGCGGCCGGGCGGCGGGCAGGCGAGCAGCUACCGGGCAGCCGAGCGAGCAAGCAGCACCGGCGCAGCGCGGUGACCCCAGCCCCGGUGGGCGCGGAGCAGAAGCCGGCGCCGAGCCGAUCUCAGCGCCCUCGCAGUUUCUCCCGGCCCGAGCCGGCCCUGCCCGGCAGCGGCGGCGGCGGCAGCGGCGGCAGCGGCGCGUCCUCCAGCGGCGGCAGCGGCGGUCGCAGCUCCCGUGCCUGCCUGCUGGCCAUGCCCCUGCACCGGCUUUUCUGGAGCUCAUCGGAGUGCUACCCCAGAAGAAGGCUGCAGGUGGUGGGAUCCACAGCAGGGAGCAGUGGGGCAAGCUGAGUGGCAGCUCCCUGGGAGGCCUGGCCCAACCUGGCACACCUGCACAGGUAAUGACGGCAGCCCAGGAGGCCCCUGAACCCCGCCUGUCAGGGCCAGCUUCCGGGGUUACUGCGGGAUCGUGCCGGGGGAGGCCAGGGUGUCUGAGCUAA